CCUCUUUAAUAAUAUAAAAUUAUAAAUACAAAAUUAGUUAUAAAAGUGAAAAUGUAUUUAAAACAAUAAUAGAAAUCAUGAUAAAGUACUGGGUCUUAGGUGAUUUAGACUUCUUUCUUCUUUGAUGCCUUUAAGGAGUUUAUUAGAAAUGCUUUCAGAGUAAUGCCACUUCAUUGUAACCUGGCUUUCCUCCCCACCAAGAGCUCUCUACUAAUCCUGGAAACCCCAGCACUCACAAGGACCUGAAACUCACUCUUCAUGGUCAGUCUGCCUUUGAGUAUGUCCCCCAGUCUAAUGAGUGAGCCCAACUGGCCACUAAGUGCUCAUAUCUCGUAGUGGCAUUUUUGUCCCUUUCAUGGAUGCCUUUCUUAUUUAAGUUGUCCUCAGUUUGCUGGUGAGGAAACAUUGAAAUCAUAUUGUAAACCAAAAAUAAGAUCCUAAGCACCUCCCCCCCGCUCCAUUCUAUUGAACAGACAGCCCUUUGGGCCAAGGGGACCUCAGAGAAACCUGAAAAACUGAAUUUUGGCCCUGAUGGGAAGGUGGUCAGACACACCUCAUUCAACCCUCUCCGUUUUGGAGUUUAGGCACAACUGGCCAGCAUUAACAUCAGAGAUCAUAAUGAAACCGCCUUUGCAAAAUUAUGAUUGAGGCAGUGAAAGAGAUCUAACUUAACUGACUCCAUCUUUCUUCUAACCUCCAAGCUGUCCUUGUUCAUUCUUGGGUGUAGCAUGAACUAAUUUUGGGAGAAACUUAGUUUAUAGUUUAAAACAAAGAUGAUAACAGCCCUUUCCCAAAGUAGACUUGCUUCUUUCCAGGAGACUAGAUUGCCUUUGUAGGACUAAUAUUAACCACAAGAUUAGGAAUCAUGGUUUACGAGUCAUGCAGCUGGAGGCUACAAGAUUCUGACCCUCCCUAAACUGCUCCUAAGAUCAGUGCUUGAGAUAUUUUGCAGACUCUGCACUUGAUAGCAUCUCCCAGAUUGAUAAACUGGUUCAUCUGAUCUUGUGGCCCCCACGCAGAAACUGACUCAGCGCAAGAAGACAGCUUUGACUCCCUGUGAUUUCAUCUCUGACCUGUGACCAGUCAGCACUCCCGGCUCACUGGCUUCCCCUCACCUACCAAGUUGUCCUUAAAAACUCUGCUCCCUAAAUGCUCAGGGAGGCUGAUUUGAAUAAUAAAACUCCAGUCUCCCACGCAGCCGGCUCUGCGUGAAUUACUCUUUCUCUAUUGCAAUUCCCCUGUCUUGAAGAAUUGCUCUCUCUAGGCAGUGGGCAAGGCGAAUCUCUUGGGAGGUUAUAGUAAGACUGACAGAACUUCUCUUGUGGCAAUAAGAUUCCAAAUUCCAGCAUGACUCUGGUAUAGCAUCACAUAUUCUCUGAGGGUUGCCACCUAUGAAACUUCGUUUACUUAACAAGGGCCUUGGCUUCUACAACCUCCUUGUCUUAGCUCAAACAUUUCUUUCUACUGACUUCCUACGUUUUUAGACAAAGUUUAACUUUUUCAACUAAUUGCCAGUCAGAAAAUGUUUAAAUUCACUUGUAAGAUGGCCCCUACUUGAAGCUAUCCUGUCUUUUUUUUUUUUUGAGACGGAGUCUCACUCUGUCGCCCAGGCUGGAGUGCAGUGGCGCGUUCUCAGCUCACUGCAACCUCCACCUCCUGGGUUCAAGCGAUUCUCUUGCCUCAGCCUCCUGAGUAGCUGGGACUACAGGCGUGUGCCACCACACCUGGCUAAUUUUUGUAUUUUUAGUAGAGACAGGGUAAGCAUGAGUCCAGUUUAAAAUUAUUUCACCAUAUUGGCCAGGCUGGUCCUGAACUCCUGACCUCGUGAUCAGCCUGCCUUGGCCUCCCAAAGGGCUGGGAUUACAGGCAUGCACCACCGCGCCCGGCCUAUCCUGCCUCUUUAGGCUGAACUAAUGUACAUCUUCCAUGUAUGAUUUAUGUCUUUAAUUAAAACUCCUAUCUCCCUGAAAUGUAUAAAACCAAGUGCUAUAACCCAACUGCCUUGGGGACUCUUUCUCAGGAUCUCUUGAGACUGUACAUUGGGCCAUGGUCACUCAUAUUGGCUCAGAAUAAACCUGUUUAAAUAUUUACAGAGUUUAGCUUUUUCAUCAACAAUAUGUUACGUUAUCAUUUGCAAAUUUGGGAAACUGGAAAUUCUUUUAUUCUCACAAAUGUUAAGUCUACUGUUAACAAGCUAUUCCUAAUUUUCACCCUCCCUCUGCACCUGCCUUUUAAAAAAAAAGUCUUAAUCUAAUUUCUCUCACUGUACAGGGGCAAGGUUGCUGCCUGAAAUAGAUCUAACAUGUUUCCCAGUUACACGGAAGGGUUUGGGUUUUCAACAUUUCCUACGGAUGAUUUGUAAUUAGGCUGCUGAACUAAUGUAAUGGCUCCUAAGGAAGUUAAGCUUCCGACAUUGCUCAGUCAGUUUGCUGGGAGCUUCUCAGAUAGCUGGAAAGAGGCUCCCAGGGGAGAAUGUCAGGCAGAGGUCAGGCUCUGUACAGACAACAACCAAACAGGCCAAAGGGAUCAGAUGAGAACUGGCAAUACCCUUAUCAAGUCUUCACUCUUAGGUUUGGCAGCCAAGCAAAUCUCCCAGCUGUGCCAGCUUGUGGUAGUGAGCAUGAGUCAAAUUUAAAAUUAUUGGAGCUAUUUAUAAUAUCUUGCAAUUGUAUAAUAUUUAUAGUUUAUAAAAUACUUUUAUCUAAAGUCAAUGUGCCAGGCAGUACGACAUGCUAAUGUGAUCUCCAUUUAAUAAUUGCGUAUAUUAACACUUAACUUGUUUGAGACAACACUUGCUGAAGUAAAUACUACUGAAUUAGUUCCAUUUUACAAAGGAUAAAAGUGGGUUCUGAGGUUCUGGGAGGUUAAAAAAUCCCUGUAAGUAUGCCCAGCUAGUAAGUGAUGGGUAUAAUUAUGUUCUAAUGAGUCCAAACUGCUUCUCACAUUGAGAUCUACUAGUUAAGCAUUUCAAAAUGUAUCAAAAUGAAAGAAGGAUGGGAUGAAAGACAAAGAUUAGUAAUAGAGCAUCUAAUGCUUCACCUGUGUAUAGUAGGUCUACUUAUUGUUUGUUAAUCUGAUUCAAACAUGUAAUAAUGAGUCCCACACAAGCAAAUAGAAAGAUAAACUGAUAAUGUUAAAACUGUAAAGACCAAAGAAAAAGAUUUUCAGAAAAAAAAAUGAGAAAUAGCUGAAUUUAUCAACCAAGUCUUUCUUCUUACACAGCAGAUGGUGAAUAUGGAAUUCCACUUAUGAAACAGGAAACAGAUUUAAGUUCUAAUAAAAAGAAAUUUUACUUGAGGUGGACUAGAAGGUUCUAAUAAAGCUCACCUAAAAUUUUCAUAAAGGAAAUUUUCCUAGAGGUGGAGUAGAAGUUCUUCCAUUCAUUUCAGCAAUUACCUCUCCUGAAGCCCCGAGUGUUGGUCUGAACAAGUUUGGACAGAGUUGUUCGCUGUAGUAUUAAGAAGAAUGAUGUGGAAGGUGAUUAUGAAGGGCAGGCCCCCAAUGAGAGGACUGGGUGCAGAGUCAAACGCAAGUUGAGAGGUUCCAGUGAGUCAAAGGAAAGCCUAAGCAAAUGUUGGCAGCCUCCAGUCAAAGAUAGCUGGAGGACUCCUGACAUCCAGUGGUUAAUCACACUCAUAGCAAUCAACUGGCUUCGACUCUAGUUGCAGUAAAGUAUGAUGGAAACAAUAAAAAAAACUUCCUGGCCUUA